rnacentral:rRNA from 1 species
CAGUCGCCGCGGUAAUACGGAGGGUGCAAGCGUUACUCGGAAUCACUGGGCGUAAAGGGAGCGCAGGCGGACAUAUAAGUCCAUCUUAAAAGUGCGGGGCUCAACCCCGUGAGGGGAUGGAAACUGUAUGCCUUGAGUGCAGGAGAGGAAAGCGGAAUUCCCAGUGUAGCGGUGAAAUGCGUAGAUAUCAUGACGAACUCCGAUUGCGAAGGCAGCGUACGGGAGUGUUACUGACGCUUAAGCUCGAAGGUGCGGGUAUCGAACAGGAUUAGAUACCCGGGUAGUCCCUGUCUCUUAUACA